rnacentral:tRNA from 1 species
GAGGGUAUAGCUCAAGUGGUAGAGCACAUGCUUAGCAUGCACAAGGUCCUGGGUUCAAUCCCCAGUAUCUCCA